UUUGUAGAAUUUGAUACGCAUUGAGGCCUGUUCUUUUUAGCUGAACUGGCUGCACUAGUUCAGAGUUUAUCUUUCUUCUUUCAACGUGAAGAGAAGAAGAUAAACUGUGAACUAGUGCAGUGAACUAAGUUCAGCUAAAAAGAACAGGCCUUUAGUCAGCAUUGGUACUUGGUACUGAUUGGUACAUACGUAUGUACCGAGCGUACGGAGUUGAUAUGGCGAUGGGCGACUUGCCUAAAUAAAAAGAAAUGUUUAUCAUAAUAUGCCAUAAUUUAAUUAUGUGGCAUGAAUUCAUCCGCUGUUUUAGUGUCUCUGUGCGUUAUUCGCAUCGAGAUUUGUGAUUCAGAGUUGGAAGAGACUGCUAGUACCAUGGCUGCGAAGAAGACGAGAGGCUGCAGAGAACCAAGGGAUAUCAAUGUGGAAACUUAUACAAAUGUGACAGAAACUACAUCUCCGUUAUUAUCAAGCCAAAGCACAAGUAAAUCGCAUUCGUUCUCAAGAACCAAUUCUGAAGAGACAUCAUUUGUGAAUUCUAACCAAGUAACGAGUUCUGGUUCAGGAGAAAUAACUGGUGCUGCCGCUUGUACCUCACCUGAUCAAAUCAAUUUUAUCUCAGGGAACCCCUUUGUCGAAGUUACCAAAGGUAUCCUCCAUCUCUUCAAGGAAGAUGAAUUGACUGAAAUGCGUUGUGCGGCAGAUCGCAGUCAUACUAUCUGUAUUCUGUCGGUACCAGCAACAAUGACUUGCCACGAUCUUUUAACUUUUACAGCAGCUUGUCAUCAGGAUAUACAAUACUUUCGAAUCCUAAGAGACGGCAGUCCAAACCAGUAUAUGGCUCUAAUCACUUUUAGAUCAUCAAGUGCAGCGAGUGAAUUCUAUGAAACUUUCAAUGGUGCUCCUUACAACUCUCUAGAACCAGACAUAGUUUGUCACAUGGUAUUUGUAUCACGAGUCGAAGUAGGGGACAAUGGAAUGCCUCUAAGUGGACACACAGAGUUGCCAUCGUGUCCCGUUUGUCUUGAAAGAAUGGACGAGAGUGUGGAUGGAAUUUUGACGAUAUUGUGCAACCAUACUUUCCAUUCCAGUUGCCUUGUCAAAUGGGGUGACACAUCCUGUCCGAUCUGUCGAUACGCUCAAACACCAGAGCCACUGGCAGACAGUCGUUGUAUGGAAUGUGUUGCAGAUACCAGCAACGAUGCAUUGUGGAUUUGUUUGAUCUGCGGUCACGUAGGCUGCUCGCGCUAUCAUCAGGGUCAUGCGUUCGAACACUACCGAGAUACACACCACUGUUAUGCGAUGCAGCUGGGUAAUAAUCGUGUCUGGGAUUAUGUAGGUGACAAUUUUGUGCAUCGCCUAUUGCAGGAUAAAGAUGGUAAAAUGGUGGAAGGUGGUCACUCGGCAACCAAGAGUGAAGGUGCUGCUGUGGAGGAUAAGGUAGAUUCGGUACAAUUAGAGUUUACAUAUUUGCUAACAUCACAGUUAGAAACGCAACGACAGUAUUAUGAAGAGAGGCUCAAUCGUUCGGAGCAACGUUCCAUAGCAGAGAUUACCGAAUUGAGGGAUAAAUUAGAACAAGUGCUCGAGGAAAAUUCGCAAUUCAAGAAACAAUUCGCGACGCUCAAUCGCGACAAGCAAACACUGGAUAAGCGUCUGCAGCAUUCCACCAAUAAAUUGGCACAAAUACAAGCAGAAUUGGCAGAGGAAAAAGAUCUGAGAAAGGCUCUACAAUCGAACCAGACUUCGUGGCAGGGAAAAUGCAAGAAAUUGCAAGAUGAGUUGUCAACCAAGGAAGCAGAGAUCACCGAUUUGAAGGAGCAAAACCGGGAUCUCAUGUUUUCUCUCGAUGCUCAAAAACAAAUCGACGAGUCCAUCGAUCGAAAUGAGAUUGCCACCGGUCGUAUCGUUAUUCCUCCAACGCCUAAAGAUGGAAAAUCGUCAGGAUCUCGGGGACAUAAAAAUCAAAAGAGGUGAACUAUCAACUUGGUUUUUCCUGGUAAUGUCCACACGAGACGACCCCCAUAAGGUGUCGGAUAUUUAGUAGGCGGUGAAGAACGCAUCCACAAGUUCUCUACAUUUCUUUGGACCGUCUCCACCAGCGUUAUCACAUAUUGAUUGACUUGCGUCUCAUUUUCGUCAUGAUUGCACAAACCAACGCAGCCGUGCAUGCAACAAAAUGCAUCGUCGAAGAAGAUGUGUGCUGCCCAUUUUCAAAAACUAAUCUACACGAUCGGUACGUACGACUGUUGCUGUGGGACGGCACAAAGUUGCUCCACCAGCGGCUUGAGCACAACACGAGAGCAAUGGGAGAAAUCCACAUUAGUAUGUCGUCAACAUCGUGCUCGAUAUUAAGAAUCAAAGGCCACAACAUUCCGCUCACUUGGCCAAUCAACGCCAAUGCGUCAAAAAUUCUUAGCAAUUUUAAUUUGUUUGCCGAUGCAUUUUGAUUUUCUUUCUUUCGUGAAAGUAGAUCUAUUAAUAAUCAUCAAUGUAUGUUUAUAUAACAAAUGAAUUUUCAUGAAAUCGUAUAAUGGGAACAAAGGUCUAUAUUUUUGGUCCUUUUCAAUUAAGCGUUGAUCAAUUAUCAAGUAUUAAAAGUAGUUGUAUGUGUAACAUGUUGCAUCCAGAUCCGAGUUGAUCGCCGCUAACAAAUUCAAAAAAUGCAUCAAACUAGUAAAAAAUAACAUUUGUAAUAAAUCUCUAAUACUGAAGCAAUAGUCUAAAGUAAUAAAUGUAUUAAAAUGUAAUAUAAUAAUUUUAUAUUAUGCAAUUAUAUUAACUAUGUUAAUUUAUCA